rnacentral:rRNA from 1 species
GACAGGGGCCUCAAGCGUUAGGCGGAAUCACUGGGCUUAAAGCGUGUGUAGGCGGAUCGUUAAGUGUCUUGUGAAAUCCCACGGCUCACCCGUGGAACUGCUGGGCAUACUGGCGAUCUUGGGCCAACUAGGGGCAACUGGAACAAGCGGUGGAGCGGUGAAAUGCGUAGAUAUCGCUUGGAACGCCAAAGGUGAAAACAGGUUGCUGGGGUUGUGCCGACGCUGAGACACGAAAGCCAGGGGAGCAAACGGG